GCACGCACCACCACGCCCAGCUAAUUUUUGUAUUUUUAGAGACAGGGUCUCACCAUUUUGGCCAGGAUGAUCUCAAUUUCUUGACCUCAUGAUCCGCCCACCUCGGCCUCCCAAAGUGCUGAGAUUACAGGUGCGAGCCACCACACCUGGCCUAUUAUCAUUCUUUCAAGAAGUUGUCAGAGGGCCUGUUCUCAUCAGUCUGAUACAUCACUCCCUGUUAGCAUAGGUCAGAUGGUGUCUUCUGCCUCCCCGUCUAGCCAUCAUGUCCAUGCCUUCAGCCUUUCAUCACUAUCCACCACUCUCGGCACAGGCUCAACACCUCUUCCAAGUCUAUGUUGGCUGAGCACUUUUAUUUUAAUGUACAAAGUGUGACAAAGUAUCAUAAAUGCUUUUAACACAUACUGAAGCAUAUAUUCAAAUGAGUGCUGCCUUUCUCAAAGUUCGUUGUCUUAGGAGGACUCAUCCUAACGCUGCUGCCACUGUGCAGGAUACCUUUCAAUCUCUUCUUUUGGAAUUCGAUUAUAAAUUAAUAGAUGAUUCCUUUUCCACAUUGCUCAUUAUAUUGGCUACAAAUAAAUCCUUACCAUUAAAAAAAAUCCCUUUUUAAUCUGGCCUUUGACUACUUCCUUUUUGUUAAGGGCUAUUUACAGCCACCCCUUCUCCCAUUGCUUGUGCUCUGGUCAUGCUGAACACUGCAGUUCCUAGAAGCCUCUGUGAAUCUGCAUAUUCCAAUUCCCUCUGCCAGAAAGAUCAUCCUCUUGUUACUAAGCUCAAGAUCUCCUCAUUCAGAAAACCUCUACUGCCUUUAUCUCCCACUCUCUAAUCUGUUUAGCUCCCUUCAAUUUAGCUGCACCUUAAAAGUACCAAGGUCACCUCAAUCCACCAAAUUGUUUAUUGUCUUCAUUGCUCCUCUCCCUAACCAGUUGAUAAGCUCUUUGAAUGCAGAUACUAUGUCUUUUUUUUUCCUGCAUCCUCGGGGCCCAACAGCAUUGAUUUAUGAUAUUGUUCAAUAAAGAUUUACUGGCCAGGUGUGGUGGCUCCCACCUGUAAUCCCAGCAAUUUGAGAGGCUGAAGCAGGCAGAUCACUUAAGGUCAGGAGUUGGAGACCAGCCUGGUCAACAUGGCGAAACCCUGUCUCUACUAAAAAAUGAAAGUAAAAAGAUUAGCCGGGUGUGGUGGCACACGCCUAUAGUCCUGCUACUCUGAUGGCUGAGGCACAAACCCAGAAGGCGAAGGUUGCAGUGAGCCAAGAUCGUGCCACUGCACUCCAGCCUAGAUGGCAGAGUGAAACCCUGUCUCAGAACAUAUAUAUAUAUAUAUCUCAAGCGGGCAUGGCAGAGCACUUCGAGAGGCUGAGGCAGGAGGAUUGCUUGAGGCCAGGAGUUCGAGACCAGCCUAGGUAAAAUAGCAAGACCCCAUUUCUAAAUAAAUAUUUAAAUAAGUAAAUAAAGAUGUAUCAAAUGAAUGGAUACUUGAAAGAAGUGGGUAAUCUAAAAUGACAACUUUGAAAGUAAACAUUCAUUUGACUGAGUCCUAGGUGAGUUCAAGAAUUACUGGAUUAUUCAAUAAAUGCUUUUACACAAACUCUUUAGUCAGUUUAGUAAAGUCAGACUCCCUAUUCAUAUCAUAAGCACAUACACAAAAUGCCAAUUGGAUUUAAUAUUCAUAUGUAAAAAAAAAAAGAAAAGAAAAAAGAAAAAGAAACUAUAAGACCACCAGAAGAAAACAACAGUGAUGGGCCGGGCGCAGUGGCUCACUGUAAUCCCAGCACUUUGGGAGGCUGAGGCGGGCGGAUCACGAGGUCAGGAGUUCAAGAUCAACCUGGCCAAAAUGGUGAAACCCUGUCUCCACUAAAAAUAUAAAAAUUAGCUGGGCGUGGUGGCAGGCACCUAUAAUCCCAGCUACUUGGGAGGCUGAGGCAGAUAAUUGCUUGAACCCAGGAGAUGGAGGUUGCAGUGAGCCGAGAUCACGCCACUGCACUCCAGCCUGGGCGACAGAGCGAGACUCCGUCUCAAAAAAAAAAGAAAAAGAAAACAACAGUGACUAUACAAUUUUAGUGUGAGGAAUGCCUAUUUAAACAUAACACCAAAAACUACACAAGAAAAGGCUGACCAUGGCUCUGAGCUAAUGUAUCACUCUCCAAGUGUUACCUGCUAUGUAGGGCAUAAGGGCUGGAAGCCAUGCUUUUUUUUCCACGGAAUUUUUCCCCAAUUUUUAAGAGCUUAAAUAUCUGCCUAUUCAAGGAAACAAUAAGUAAUUGUAAAAAUACCCUAAAUCUUGUCCAAAAAGUCUGGAAACACAGGGAAUACAGUGGGUUUUUUUGUUUGUUUGUUUUUUGAGACAGAGUCUCGCUCUGUCAUCCAGGCUGGAGUUCAGUUGCGCGACCUCGGCUCACUGAAACGUCCACCUCCCAGGUUCAACCGAUUUCCCUGCUUCAGCCUUCCAAGUAGCUGGGAUUACAGAUGUGUGCCACCACACCCAGCUAAAUUUUGUAUUUUUAGUAGAGGUGGGGUUUCACCAUGUUGGCCAGCCUGGUCUCCAACUCCAGACCUCAGGUGAUCCGUCCACCUCAGCCUCCCAAAGUGCUGGGAUUACAGGCGUGAGCACCACGCCUGGCCUACAGUGUAUAUUUAACAUCGUAUUUUGGAUUAACAAUUCCAUUUAUUUCUUUAGAGACACUUACCUAAGACAGUAUGUGGAAGUCAAAGGAAAAUAUAUUGAGCAAUAUUAUUUCGAAAUGUUACUAAUACAUUGUUUGAAAAUAAAUUAGUCCUAUGUUUCUGACUUUUUGAACACCUAUGAAGUGUUGUCCAGCGCUUUGGGAGGCCAAGGCGGGAGGAUUGCCUGAGGUCAGGAGUUCAAGACUAGCUUGACCAACAUGGUGAAACCCUGUCGCUACUACACAAAAAUUAGCCAGGCGUGGUGGUGCAUGCCUGUAAUCCCAGCUACUUGAGAGGCUGAGGCAGGAGAAUCACUUCAACCCGGGAGGCAGAGAUUGCAGUGAGCCGAGAUCGCACCACUGCACUCCAGCCAGGGCGACAGAGUGAGACUCCAUCUCAAAAAAAAAAAAAAAAAAAAAAAUUGAACAAGGCCGGGCGUGGUGGCUCACACCUGUAUUCCCAGCAUUUUGGGAGGCCAAGGUGGGCAGGAGUUCACUUGAGGCCAGGAGUUCAGGACAACCCCGGGCAACAUGGCAAAAACCUGUCUCUCCAAAAGUACACAACUUAGACAUGGUGGCACAUGCCUAUAAUCCCAGCUACUCCAGAGGCUGAGGCACGAGAAUCACUUAAAUCAAAAAGUGGAGGCUGCAGUGAGCUGAGACCAUGCCACUGCACUCCAGCCUGGCAACAAAGUGAGACCCUGUCUCAAAAGAAAAAAAAAAAAGGAACAAUCUAAAAGUUCAAUAAAGGAUUGUUUAAUAUAUACAUUAUCCAUAAUGAAAAUAAUAGCAUUGGAAUGUAUUUAUUGACUUGAAAAAGAGUUCAUAAUAUAUUUUAAUUAUUUAUUUUUAUAAUAUAGAUUCCCAUAUCUUUCCAUAGACUGUAGAGGGUGAAGCCUCAGAAUCUGUAUUUUUAUUUAUUUAUUUAUUUUUGAGACACAGUCUCACUCUGUUGCCCAAGCUAGAGUGCAUGGUGUGAUUUUGGCUCACUGCAACCUCCACCUCCUGAGUUCACGUGAUUCUCCUACCUCAGCACCCCCAAGCAGCUGGGAUUACAGGUGCCCACCACCAUACCCAGCUGAUAUUUGUAAUUUUAGUAGAGACGUGGUUUCUCCACGUUGGCCAGGCUGGUCUCGAACUCCUGACCUCGGGUGAUCCACCCACCUCAGCCUCCCAAAGUGCUGGGAUUACAGGUGUGAGCCACUGCACCCAGCUCAUAUUUUAAAUGAAAAGAAGAAAAUGGAGAUUAUAAACCACUAAGUACAUUAUCUGAUUUUUAUAAAGACUUAUAUGUGCAAUUUAUACAUAAAAUAUAUAUGUGUGUGAAUAUAUAUAUAUAUAUAAUCUGAAAGGCUAUACAUAAAUAUGUUAAUAAUAAUUAUCUUUUUGGCUUACUUGUAGUUUGUAAUGUUUCAACAAUAAGUAUGGAUAAUUAACAAGAUAGGGAUAAAAAGAUAAGUAAUAGGAUGGCUUACUCGAAACCAAAGCAAACACUGAUCAAGCUUAUUAAAUAAUAAAGUUACUAAAAUGAAGAAGGAACUGAAGAUCUUAAAAAAAAGAAAUCACAUAACUAUAUAUGAUUUCCAGUGAUUUUCUGCCACCCUGUGGGGAAUUCUGCACAUUGCAGAACUGAAGAAGCAAAGUAUGAAACUACAAAAACUUCUGUAAAUCAAGAUGAAAUUUCUUGGCCCAAGUAGUUGUUUAGCUAAAGCUCUGUUGAUCAGUUUUGUUUUCUCUACUAGCUAUUUAGUGAAAUUGCUAGACUAGGAUAAAAAGAAUACCUAAUACUUAAAUGUGAUUACAAUAUGACAACCAAGGUCCUAAUACAUAUAUAUGAAUUCAUCUCACAAAAACCCUAUAAGGUAGGUACUAUUUUCUUCCCAUUUUAUCAAAGAGACGGACUUUAAUCUACCAAUGGUGGGUAAAUGUUGCCAAAGCAAUGUGAAAUCCAGGCAGAAUGCUGCAUUUUUAGUCAAUGAUUUAAAAUUUUGAGCUUUUCUGUUCCCCUCAGGCCUGAUCGUACCCCAAUGGAAUCACCCAAAUACUUGAUGCUGAGCCUUUCUAUGGAUUUAUCAGAUGAAACUUUGGAAAGGGACUUUUUUUUUUUUUUAAGACAGGGUUUCGCUGUCACCCAGGCUGGAGUGGAGUGGCGCGAUCUUGGCUCACUACAACCGCCGCCUGCCAGGCUCCAGAGAGUCUCCCACCUCAGCCUCCCAAGUGGCUGGGACCACAGGUGCAUGCCACCAAGCCCACCUAAUUUUCUUCUUUUCUUUCUUUCUUCCUUUCUUUCUCUUUGCUUCUUUUUCUUUCUUUCUUUCUCUGUCUCUUUUUUUUUUUUUUUUUUUAAGAGAUGGGGUCUCGCCAUGUUGCCCUGAGGUCUGGCGAUCUACCGACUCGGCCUCUCAAAGUGCUGGGAUUACAGUCAUGAGCCAGCACGCCCAACUGAGAGAGACUAUGAUGUUCUCCAAACAAAUCUCAUUUGGUUGAAACUCUACAGCUGAGUAUGGUCUAAUUUGAGUAGUUUACCUUGAGUACUCUAACCAUGGUCUAUAGACCUGGGCUCUUCUGAGAACUGUUUGCAAAUGGUUCACAGAGAGAGAGUAGAAAACUCUAUGUCAAUUUUGCAGGUAAUUUUAUGGCUGUUAACUCUAACGAUAAAAAGUUUUGACUUGGACUUUGUAUGUCUUUUCAUUUUUCUGUUUUAUUAACUUGUCAAAAACUAAUUGAAAAUUGAAAAAAAUAAACCGACCGUUCCCCCAGUGAAGAGAAGCACUGCUGUAAAGCUUUUCACACUCAAAUAUUACCAAACUCUAAGGUCGCUUCUGAGGCCUAACUCCCCAAAAUGAUGCCUCGGAUAUUUUUCCUCGCCUUAUUUCUUUUUUUUCUUUUUCUUUUUUUUUUUUUUUCCUUUUUCCUUUUAUUUGAGACGGAGUUUUUGCUCUGUUGCCCAAGCUGGAGUGCAAUGGCACGAUCUCGGCUCACUGCAAACUCCAACUCCGCCUCCGCCUCCGCCCUCGCCUCCUGAGUAGUUGGGAUUACAGACGCGCGCCACCACGCCCAGCUAAUUUUUGUUUGUUUAGUAGAGACGAGGUGUCACCAUGUUGGCCAGGCUGGUCUCG
rnacentral:lncRNA from 10 species